rnacentral:rRNA from 1 species
GACGAACGCUGGCGGCGUGCUUAACACAUGCAAGUCGAACGGUAAGGCCCUUCGGGGUACACGAGUGGCGAACGGGUGAGUAACACGUGGGUGAUCUGCCCUGCACUUCGGGAUAAGCCUGGGAAACUGGGUCUAAUACCGGAUAGGACCACUGCCUGCAUGGGUGGUGGUGGAAAGCUUUUGCGGUGUGGGACGGGCCCGCGGCCUAUCAGCUUGUUGGUGGGGUGAUGGCCUACCAAGGCGACGACGGGUAGCCGGCCUGAGAGGGUGACCGGGCACACUGGGACUGAGAUACGGCCCAGAGUCCUACGGGAGGAAGCAGUGGGGAAUAUUGCACAAUGGGCGCAAGCCUGAUGCAGCGACGCCGCGUGAGGGAUGACGGCCUUCGGGUUGUAAACCUCUUUCAGCACCGACGAAGCGCAAGUGACGGUAGGUGCAGAAGAAGGACCGGCCAACUACGUGCCAGCCGCCGCCGUAA